rnacentral:tRNA from 1 species
GCCCGAGUGGUGGAAUGGUAGACACGACGGAUUCAAAAUCCGUUGCCCUCGCGGGCGUGCCGGUUCGAGUCCGGCCUCGGGUACCA